rnacentral:snRNA from 1 species
AUACCAUACAUUACAAAGAUGGUUUUCCCAGGACAAACCUUAUUCAUUGCACUAUGGAUGUGCUGAACUGUGCGAUUUCCCCAAAUGUGGAAGACUCCAUUGUGUCAUAUAGGAUAGUGGAGGUCUGUAUUUGCAUUCUUCCA